rnacentral:piRNA from 1 species
UGACUCCGUUGUGUGCAGAUUCUGCUG